rnacentral:rRNA from 1 species
CAUUGGCGAAGCUGCGCUUGCGCAGCCUAGCCAAGGCGGACGGGUGAGUAACGCGUAAGGAAUUUGCCCUGCAGACAGGGAUAACAGACGGAAACGACUGAUAACACCUGGUAUUGUCAGGCUGGCGCAUGCCGGCCUGAUGAAAGGAGACGCUGCAGGAGAGCCUUGCGUCCUAUUAGCUAGUUGGUGGGGUAACGGCCCACCAAGGCGAUGAUAGGUAGCCGGCCUGAGAGGGUGAACGGCCACAAGGGGACUGAGAUACGGCCCUUACUCCUACGGGAGGCAGCAGUGGGGAAUAUUGGACAAUGGGGGCAACCCUGAUCCAGCAAUUCUGUGUGCACGAAGAAGGUUUUCGGAUUGUAAAGUGCUUUCAGCAGGGAAGAAGAAAGUGACGGUACCUGCAGAAGAAGCGACGGCUAAAUACGUGCCAGCAGCCGCGGUAAUACGUAUGUCGCAAGCGUUAUCCGGAAUUAUUGGGCAUAAAGGGCAUCUAGGCGGCCCUGUAAGUCUAGGGUGAAAACCUGCGGCUCAACCGCAGGCCUGCCCCGGAAACUACAGGGCUAGAGUAUCGGAGAGGUGGACGGAACUGCACGAGUAGAGGUGAAAUUCGUAGAUAUGUGCAGGAAUGCCGAUGAUGAAGAUAGUUCACUGGACGGUAACUGGCGCUGAAGUGCGAAAGCUAGGGGAGCAAACAGGAUUAGAUACCCUGGUAGUCCUAGCUGUAAACGAUGAUUACUGGGUGUGGGCAUGAAGAGUGUCCGUGCCGAAGCAAAU